CUGAGUUAAAAGCAAAAGGGAUACAAGGUCAUGUUUAAAAGGUCAUGCAUAAAAGGAUUGGAAAGGAUACCAAGAUGAUGCCUUAAGUUUUAGCUCUCAUAUUUUUCAGAUUCUGUACUGCAUUACUAUGCACUCUGAAAGAGUGUUAACAAGUCCUCUUUGCAGUUUAGUUAGACUAAAAGAUUCUUUUCCAGCCCAAGAACCAAAGACACUGUUGCAGCUUCAGGCCCAAAAAGUACAAACAGCAGUGAAGUGAGGAGAGCAGUCUGGGAGGAUGAGACUUCAUAACCUGAAGCUGAGUUUGGGCAAUUAAUCCCAGUAUGGAAAUGGACCAAAACUUAUAAAAGUGUGAAAACUCGUGACCCAUUGUCCAUCUUGGGGGAAGCCUUGGCCAGGCUCUUGCACUGCCCCAGGUGUAUCCUUUGAAGGCCUUUCUAAUAAAUACCUACUUUAUUCCUUUAACUCUGUCCAGCCUCUGUUCUAGGUGGCCUUUCAAGGCAUCCAAGAGUACCCAGCCUUCAGCCAGAGGCCUGAAGUUCUUCCUAGCUCAAGGUUUUAAGCAAAAAGAAGAAAGGUAACAUAAUCCAAGGAAUCCAGAAGGCGUUGGAGAGUCACCCCUAAUUUGUGAAAACAUAUGGCUUAUUCCACCCUUCCACACUGAGAAUUCAUUCGAGGCAUGCUUGCCUGCAGUCUUGUGUUCACCAUCUGGAUCAACCUUCUGCAAGUCGAGGAAUGCUGUGCAGGGUUUUGCGUUGGCUGCAGUCGGCUGUGUCCUCCAUCACCCAGCUGCUCCUUCACACCACUGAGCAUCCCAGGGAAUCACCCAGCACAGCCUGAGCUGCAGGCUGGGACAGAGAGAGAGAGAGCUUUUGCUCAGCCCCAUGUAAUUUUGCAGGAAGAGGUUAGUAGCUUGCAGGCACAUCUUGGUGCUGAAGAAAAUUUCAGUCUUCACCCAUGGUUUGAAUGGAGACAGCAAUAUCUGAC
rnacentral:lncRNA from 1 species